UGGGGAAUAUUGGACAAUGGGCGCAAGCCUGAUCCAGCCAUGCCGCGUGAGUGAUGAAGGCCUUAGGGUUGUAAAGCUCUUUCGCCGGUGAAGAUAAUGACGGUAACCGGAAAAGAAGCCCCGGCUAACUUCGUGCCAGCAGCCGCGGUAAUACGAAGGGGGCUAGCGUUGUUCGGAUUUACUGGGCGUAAAGCGCGCGUAGGCGGAUAAAUUAGUUAGAGGUGAAAUCCCAGGGCUCAACCCUGGAACUGCCUUUAAUACUGUUUAUCUAGAGUAUGAAAGAGGUGAGUGGAAUUCCGAGUGUAGAGGUGAAAUUCGUAGAUAUUCGGAGGAACAUCAGUGGCGAAGGCGGCUCACUGGUUCAUUACUGACGCUGAGGUGCGAAAGCGUGGGGAGCAAACAGG
rnacentral:rRNA from 1 species